UACAGAGGGUGCGAGCGUUGUCCGGAAUCACUGGGCGUAAAGGGCGCGUAGGUGGCGACCCAAGUCGAUGGUGAAAGCUCGCCGCUCAACGGCGAGUCGGCCACUGAUACUGGGUUGCUGGAGCACUGUAGAGGCAGAUGGAAUUCCUGGUGUAGCGGUGAAAUGCGCAGAUAUCAGGAGGAACACCGGUGGCGAAGGCGGAUCUCUGGGCCGAUACUGACGCUGAGGAGCGAAAGCGUGGGGAGCGAACAGG
rnacentral:rRNA from 1 species